GGCGAUGCUGCUCCUCCGGGCGGGUCGCGGAGGAGGCGACGCCGCGGACUCCGGCAGCUGCCCUCCUCCCGCGGGGGCGCCGCCCGGCACUCGGGCAAGAAGAGGCCGGCUGAGGCGGCGGCUGCGCUCCCCGCCACUCGAUCAGAUUCCCUACAGAGAAUAAAUCUCCUGGUUUUGCUCGUCGUGACUUGAGUUCCAGUCAGAUUUCAGGCUGGGCCCACAGAGGUUUGCACUCAACUUGUGUGGAAUUUAUGAAUCCUUCCAGGCAAAAUGGGUCGUUUCCUCUGUCUAGCAGAUGAGUUUUAAUAUGACACCAAGAUCAAGCUUCUGGUUUCUAACAAGAUAAUCCAGGACAUCUGCAUAUCCCAACUGCACACACUGGAGGGCUCUGAAAAGGGAAAGAAAAGGGAGAAGCAAAGAUGCUGAUGCUGCUCAAAGAAGACUACAAAAAAACUUACAAAGCCUCCCGCUACCAAGGCACACUUUGUCCACCUCCGUCUUUUCUUUUCUGGUGCCAUCGCUAAGUGUUUUAUGAAUAAUCAUCAGCUCGGAAACUUUUAAAAACCCCUCCAAUAUGACUGCGGAUGAAAAGGGAGCCGCUGCUGUUUGAGGGAGAAUGAGUCUAAAGGCCAUCUGUGCUCACAGAACUGCAUCCAUAAUUCUUUGGAUUCUGGACAGCAUCAGUAUCUGCACAUCAUAUUUUACAGGAAAGCAGGAGGAGGGGGUCAGAAGAGGAAAUGUGUCCAGAGACAAGAGAGUUGAGUGGCGAAUGACAAAGCUAGAAAUAGAGGGUAGAAAAAAGCAAGCGGGUUUUCCAACAAAAAAAAGUUUAUUUCUCCUUUUAAAUGCAGCUUGAUUAAAAACCAUCCAGUGGCA